GCCGCGUGUGUGAAGAAGGCCUUCGGGUUGUAAAGCACUUUUGUCCGGAAAGAAAUCCUUGGCUCUAAUACAGUCGGGGGAUGACGGUACCGGAAGAAUAAGCACCGGCUAACUACGUGCCAGCAGCCGCGGUAAUACGUAGGGUGCGAGCGUUAAUCGGAAUUACUGGGCGUAAAGCGUGCGCAGGCGGUUUGCUAAGACCGAUGUGAAAUCCCCGGGCUCAACCUGGGAACUGCAUUGGUGACUGGCAGGCUAGAGUAUGGCAGAGGGGGGUAGAAUUCCACGUGUAGCAGUGAAAUGCGUAGAGAUGUGGAGGAAUACCGAUGGCGAAGGCAGCCCCCUGGGCCAAUACUGACGCUCAUGCACGAAAGCGUGGGGAGCAAACAGGAUUAGAUACCCUGGUAGUCCACGCCCUAAACGAUGUCAACUAGUUGUUGGGGAUUCAUUUCCUUAGUAACGUAGCUAACGCGUGAAGUUGACCGCCUGGGGAGUACGGUCGCAAGAUUAAAACUCAAAGGAAUUGACGGGGACCCGCACAAGCGGUGGAUGAUGUGGAUUAAUUCGAUGCAACGCGAAAAACCUUACCUACCCUUGACAUGGUCGGAAUCCCGCUGAGAGGUGGGAGUGCUCGAAAGAGAACCGGCGCACAGGUGCUGCAUGGCUGUCGUCAGCUCGUGUCGUGAGAUGUUGGGUUAAGUCCCGCAACGAGCGCAACCCUUGUCCUUAGUUGCUACGCAAGAGCACUCUAAGGAGACUGCCGGUGACAAACCGGAGGAAGGUGGGGAUGACGUCAAGUCCUCAUGGCCCUUAUGGGUAGGGCUUCACACGUCAUACAAUGGUCGGAACAGAGGGUUGCCAACCCGCGAGGGGGAGCUAAUCCCAGAAAACCGAUCGUAGUCCGGAUU
rnacentral:rRNA from 1 species